UACCAGCACCCCGAGUGGUCGGGACGAUUAUUGGGCCUAAAGCAUCCGUAGCCGGUUUUACAAGUCCUCCGUUAAAUCCAGCUGCUUAACAGAUGGGCUGCGGAGGAUACUAUAAGACUAGGAGGCAGGAGAGGCAAGCGGUACUCAGUGGGUAGGGGUAAAAUCCUCUGAUCCAUUGAAGACCACCAGUGGCGAAGGCGGCUUGCCAAUACGCGCUCGACGGUGAGGGAUGAGAGCUGGGGGAGCAAACCGG
rnacentral:rRNA from 1 species